rnacentral:rRNA from 1 species
UUUUUUAUGGAGAGUUUGAUCCUGGCUCAGGACGAACGCUGGCGGCGUGCUUAACACAUGCAAGUCGAACGGUAAGGCCCUUCGGGGUACACGAGUGGCGAACGGGUGAGUAACACGUGGGUGACCUGCCCUGUACUUCGGGAUAAGCCUGGGAAACUGGGUCUAAUACCGGAUAUGACCUUUCCCUGCAUGGGGUUUGGUGGAAAGCUUUU